rnacentral:rRNA from 1 species
CACGUAGGGUGCGAGCGUUGUCCGGAAUUAUUGGGCGUAAAGAGCUCGUAGGCGGUGUGUCGCGUCGGCCGUGAAAACCUGCAGCUUAACUGUGGGCGUGCGGUCGAUACGGGCAUCACUGGAGUUCGGCAGGGGAGACUGGAAUUCCUGGUGUAGCGGUGAAAUGCGCAGAUAUCAGGAGGAACACCGGUGGCGAAGGCGGGUCUCUGGGCCGAUACUGACGCUGAGGAGCGAAAGCGUGGGGAGCGAACCGG